AUUUGUCUACGUGUAUGUUAGGAU
rnacentral:siRNA from 1 species